rnacentral:rRNA from 1 species
GAAAGGGACGCUAAUACCGCAUAACAUGCUGUCUUUUUAAGAGAGAGACAUCAUAGCCGGGGACCGCUAGGCCUGGCGCUUGAAGAGGGGCCCGCGCCUGAUUAGCUAGUUGGUGGGGUAAUGGCUCACCAAGGCAACGAUCAGUAUCCGGCCUGAGAGGGCGGACGGACACACUGGGACUGAGACACGGCCCAGACUCCUACGGGAGGCAGCAGUGGGGAAUUGUUCGCAAUGGGCGCAAGCCUGACGACGCAACGCCGCGUGGAGGAUGAAGAUCUUCGGGUCGUAAACUCCUUUCGAUCGAGACGAAUGGCCAUCGGGCUAACAUCCUGAUGGAGUGACGGUACCGAGAGAAGAAGCCCCGGCUAACUCCGUG